rnacentral:rRNA from 1 species
UGCAAGUCGAACGGCGUCCCUCGGGGCGCAGUGGCGCACGGGUGCGUAACGCGUAUGCAACCUACCUUGAACUGGGGGAUAGCCCGGAGAAAUCCGGAUUAAUACCGCAUAACACCAUGUGAGGGCAUCUGAGUAUGGUUAAAGAUUCAUUGGUUCAAGAUGGGCAUGCGUGCCAUUAGCUAGUUGGUGGUGUAACGGACCACCAAGGCUACGAUGGCUAGGGGUUCUGAGAGGACGGUCCCCCACACUGGCACUGAGAUACGGGCCAGACUCCUACGGGAGGCAGCAGUAGGGAAUAUUGGGCAAUGGGCGGAAGCCUGACCCAGCCAUGCCGCGUGCAGGAUGAAGGCCUUCUGGGUUGUAAACUGCUUUUAUCAGGGAAGAAAACACCCAUGCGUGGGGAACUGACGGUACCUGAGGAAUAAGCACCGGCUAACUCCGUGCCAGCAGCCGCGGUAAUACGGAGGGUGCAAGCGUUGUCCGGAUUUAUUGGGUUUAAAGGGUGCGUAGGCGGCCCAUUAAGUCAGUGGUGAAAGCCCGGGGCUCAACCCCGGAACCGCCAUUGAUACUGGUGGGCUUGAGUAUGGACGAGGUUGGCGGAAUUGAGGGUGUAGCGGUGAAAUGCUUAGAUACCCUCAAGAACACCGAUUGCGUAGGCAGCUAACUAGGCCAUAACUGACGCUGAGGCACGAAAGCGUGGGGAGCGAACAGGAUUAGAUACCCUGGUAGUCCACGCCGUAAACGAUGAUUACUCGAUGUCGGCGACAGACUGUCGGCGUCUUAGCG